AAAAAGUAAAAGGCAAAUUUGAUGUUAUAUGAAUUUUAUCUCAAUUGUUUAAAUUGCAAAAAAAAAGUCAAUGUUCCAAUUAAGAGCAUUAUGGUAUCACAGUAUGGCCAUAAGGAGAAUAAGAAAUGGGUUCUCAAUCAUAAAGAUGUCACAUUACAAGAGGCAAGGGAAAUUCUGGUAAGGGCAUUUAAGGGCACAUUAAAGGAUAAAAUUGCUGUUGCUGUUAAAACAUGUCAAGAACAUCUUCCCUAGGAACUGAAAUUAAAAUUUUUACUAGAAGCCAAAAUCCUCAAGCAAUAUAAUCAUCCCAGUACUGUCAAACGUAUAGGAGUUCGCACACAAAGACGGCCUAUCUACGUCAUUAAGGAACUGGUUCCAGGAGGCGAUUUCCUCUCCUUUCUGAGAAAGAAGAAUGAACUAAAACUCAGUUAGUGAAAUUUUCAUUAGAUGCUGAUUCUGGAUGGCGUAUCUCGAGUAAAAAAUGUAUACACAGGGACCUUGCUGUAAGAAACUGCCUGGAGGGGAAAAUAAUGUCCUGAAAAUUGAAAAUCAGUGACUUUGGAAUGUCUCGUCAAGAGGAUGGUGGUGUGUAUUCAUCUUCUGACUUAAAGCAGAUUCCCAUUAAAUGGACAGCAACAGAAGCUCUUAAUUAUGGGAGAUAUCAUUCUGAGAGUGCCGCAUGGAGCUUUGGCAUCCUCCUCUGGGAGACUUUCAGCUUAGGGGGUCUGUCCAUAGCCUGGAAUGACAAAUCAGCAAGCACAAGAACAAGUGGAAAGAAGAUACUGGAUGUCAGUCUCUUGGCAGUAUCCACAGAGUAUUUUAAUAAAAUAAUGCUGAGGUGUUAGGAUUACAAACUUGAAAACCGCCCCCAAGUCUACUGAACUUCAGAAAGAGAUAGCUGCCAUCAAGAAGAAAGUUGCAUAGUGAUGAAACAGUGCCAAACUCAGCCUUCAGGACUCUAUUUUCAGCAGAGCAGUAUUUUUCUUCUUAUUAACAUUUAUACCACAUUACCUGCAACAUUCUCCCAAGUGUUUUAUUAACUAUUUUUUAAAAAUAUGUGCUGCUUUAACCAUUGUAAAUAAGAAAGUAUAAGUUCCAAAUGUAAGGGAUCACACAGAUCUAUCUUUUUCACAUCUAGGACUGUUACUGUUUCUCAAAAAUUUUCUACUCUAGGCUCAGUUCAUAGUCUGCUGUUCUCCAUCACAGACACCUAUUGGUGCUAUAAGCUGUAUUGAUAAUAUCACAUACCACAUUUGUAGGACACAUCUCAACAGAAGAUGGCCUUCCUACUCUGCUGAGACAACAUUAUAUUUGUGAACGCCAUUUUAUAUUGGUAAUUAUCUGGACCUCCUAAGUUGUUUGGUUUUUUUUUUCUUUUUGGCCAGAGAUAGGUCCUGUUUUGUCAGUAAGACUGCCAUUUCCCUAUGUUUCACAAUGCCGUCCUAUGCACAAACAUCCUCAAAGAGUUGAGGCAGCUGACUUUAACUGAUGUUACAGAGAGCUGUAACAGCAAGAAUCAAGUUUGAAAAGUAAGGUGGUCUGGAGAAAGGAACAGCUAGGGUGGUGAUCAAAGUAGAGAAGAAAAGGCAAACAUAAAACCAGCCUUCUUAACAGAGGUAUGCCUUUAUAAAACACAUACACGCUUUUUAAUUUUAUGAUCAAAUUCACCAAAAAGGUCCUAAGAAAUGUUUUAGUAGUUUAUAUAAAUUAAAGAGCCCUCUGGAUGGCAACCAAACAAUUCUUAAGAGAAACUAUGAAAUACAAGCCCACCAAAAUAAUAUAUUAUUUUUGGUUAAGCAUCUUCACUUCAAAGGAAGCAUCCCAGAACUGCAUUCCAUGCAUUUUUACUAGUGUCUGAAACUGUCAGGAUUUUAUUCUCAUUCUCUCGCUCUUUUCACAUAAACCCCAGGUAGAAAGGCAUAUAAGGAUGAACUUGACAUUUAAAAAGUCAAACAAAUAUUUAUAAGGAAGAAGGAAGUUAUGAGGAGAAAGACAUGGGGACAGCCAUCCUAAAUCCACUUUACUCCUUCAUUUACCCUUAUAUUGCAACCUAGGAAUUCUUAUAGCAAACAGAGUUCCUGAGAUGUUCCACGUGGAUAAAAUGUAACAGAGUUAAGACGUGGAUUCCGUUGAGCUGAAUCUUAACUGCACCCAGGAAUGCUUUUCAGGAUAAUUAUGUGUGUAGGGGAAAGACACACUCAGGGCAAAUGUUGCAUGGAAGCUCAUGCCCAUGUCAAAAUUUUAAAAAACAGCAUAUAAAUGAAUACUUGCUCUACUGUAAAUGGAAGAGCAAGGAAAUAGAAAAUUUCUCCUGCCCUCUUCAACUGUUUGGUGCCUAUGAAUAUCAGUGCACAAAACCUAUACUCAGUAUUUUUUUUAAAGUAUAAAAGUUGAUAAUGAAGACAGAAAUGAUUUGUGUCUGUCAUUUCAAGCUCCUAACAAGAGUCUAGUAUACAUUUAAUGGUUACUACAUACAGACCAAAAUGAGAGCAUAUUAAAUCUGCCCUCGAAAAAUAAGUUGCAGCAAAUAAGCAAGCUCUUUUAAAUCAGUAUAGGUUUCCCUCCUAUAAAAUGGUGUGUUUGGUGGCAAAAAAAGUCAAUGUUGCACUUAUACAGAGAUAUUAAAUGUUUCUCUGGCAUCAAUGUGAACAUUGAUGAGUUCCCUAUCCCAUACCCUUUCCCAAUACCUAUCGUCAACAUCUAGGAAUAAGCCUCAAAAUGGCAAUGCAUUCCUAAAACAAGAAAUCUUUAGGAGCUUAGGUCAGUUUCCAAGUAUGAACUGAAGGGAAAACAAAACAAAAAAAAGGCUUAGAGCUGGAAUUACAAAAUCAAUUGUCUACAGAGGCCAAGAAUGUAAUGAAAACAAAAGAAAUGAGCUGAGUGGGGACUGACUGAGGUGAACUGUUUUUAAAAAGGCCCUUGCUCUAUUCUAAAGGGGGGCGGCACCUAGACAAGUCUAGCCGAAAUCAGGACAUAAUGAUGCUAUGCAAAAAUCAGAACACAAUGUUACCAGAUGUUCCAAUCCUUCAAGAAAAACUGAAAUUUGGAUUUUGUCAAUUCUGAUUUUUAAAAACAAACAGAUUUUUAAAAUUUUGAAAUACUGUGUGAGGUUAAGAAGGUGCAUUUUGCUGGCGGUGGUGGCUCACAUGUGUAAUCGCACCACUUUGAGAGGCAGAGGCAGGAGGAUUACUUGAGCCCAUGAGUUC